CAAAUAUGUAAAAAUGAAAUUAGAUGAUGACUGCUAAAUGAAUAUCAAGGCACAAUCACAUAAUAUGAAAUUAUAUUUUCCUGAAUGAUAGGAUUACUACCAAUCUCCCCCAGGACACCCUCAUCUACUGUGUGCACAGCCCUCUCCUGAGGCGUCACACCCCUGAGCUUGCUAUAUAGUAGGAGACAUGCAAAUAAGACCCCCCUUUGGGUGAUGAAAAGCAGCCCAGCCCUGACCCUGCAGCUCUGGGAGAGGAGACCCAGCCUUGGGAUUUCCAGCUGUCUUCACUUGGUGAUCGGCACUGAACACAGGAGACUCACCAUGGAUUUUGUACUGAGCUGGGUUUUCCUUGUUGCAAUUUUAAAAGGUGUCCAGUGUGAGGUGCAGCUGGUGGAGUCUGGGGGAGGCUUGGUCCAGCCUGGAGGGUCCCUGAGACUCUCCUGUGCAGCCUCUGGAUUCACCUUCAGUGAUUAUGCCAUGAGCUGGGUCCGCCAGGUUUCUGGGAAGGGCCUGGAGUGGGUUGGCUAUAUUAGAAGCAAAUCUAACAAUUACGAGACAGAAUACGCCGCAUCGGUGAAAGGCAGAUUCACUAUCUCAAGAGAUGAUUCAAAGAACACACUGUAUCUGCAAAUGAGCAGCCUGAAAACCGAGGACACGGCCGUGUAUUACUGUACUAGGGACACAGUGAGGCGAGGUCAGUGUGAGCCCAGACACAAACCUCCCUGCAGGGGCGCGCGGGGCCUCCAGGGGGCGCUCGGGACCCACUGA